rnacentral:rRNA from 1 species
AUUGAACGCUGGCGGCAGGCCUAACACAUGCAAGUCGAGCGGAUGAAGGGAGCUUGCUCCUGGAUUCAGCGGCGGACGGGUGAGUAAUGCCUAGGAAUCUGCCUGGUAGUGGGGGAUAACGUCCGGAAACGGGCGCUAAUACCGCAUACGUCCUGAGGGAGAAAGUGGGGGAUCUUCGGACCUCACGCUAUCAGAUGAGCCUAGGUCGGAUUAGCUAGUUGGUGGGGUAAAGGCCUACCAAGGCGACGAUCCGUAACUGGUCUGAGAGGAUGAUCAGUCACACUGGAACUGAGACACGGUCCAGACUACUACGGGAGGCAGCAGUGGGGAAUAUUGGACAAUGGGCGAAAGCCUGAUCCAGCCAUGCCGCGUGUGUGAAGAAGGUCUUCGGAUUGUAAAGCACUUUAAGUGGGGAGGAAGGGCAGUAAGUUAAUACCUUGCUGUUUUGACGUUACCAACAGAAGAAGCACCGGCUAACUUCGUG